CCGGGGAGGUGGGGGCCUUGCUACCUGUGGUUGGUAUGCUACUACAGUUCAGCCCCGACGAGCUCAAUAAAUGCCAACAUGGCGUCCUCUCAAAUGUCGCUUCGCCGCCAGCUACAGCAUUGUCAGAUGGUGGAUCGACACCAAACUCAUUCUUUGGAAGAUUCACAUUCUAGUAGCGGUGCAAGAUCUUGGUUUUGAUGAUCCUCCUUUUACAUAGGUAGAUUCACAUUCACGGGGUGAUCCAAAAUCCCAGCGGUCUUACUGAUUGUGAAAGGUGGCUCUUUUGUUUGCAUGCUUCUCAGCUCUUCUUACCUUUUGUAAAGUACUGUAUAUUAUAAAAAUAGAAAACCAUAAAUACAUAUAUUAUUUUUGA